UAUUAAAGGCUGUUUAUGUGUGGAUCUGUUUGACAGUAGCUGUCAUAGGUCCCAGCCAGCCGGGCCUAAUACACUACUGCUAUUGUGUAUUGGACUCCCUCUAUACUCAGAGUUAAAUGUGUCCGCGCUCUAGUGUAGGGACCAAGAUCGUGGCCAUGGUCCUGACCUUACUGUGGCAGCCUUAAUGCUGUCUUUAAUGCAUUACAUGUUGACUGUAACAGAUUAUAUGCAACAUUUAAUAAAUACAGGCAUCGGGUUAAUGCUUUAAAUGUAAGUAUUAACCCGAUAAAGUAAAAUGACAUUUAGUUGCAGUGGACACGUCACUCUGUAAAUAUGUUAUAUUAGUGUAUUUUUCCUCCCCAGUGUUAACUUGCAUAAGCUAUGGCUGCAUAUUUCCCUGUAAUAUGAUAUAAAAUGGGCAGGCUUAUUCCUCCUUUUAGUCUCGUUGUGGUUGAUAAAUUGCCCAAGUUCAAGUAUAAGCAACUUUAUUAUGCUUUGUUUAAAAUGUUUCACAUGGUGAUAGAAGGCCUCUUUGUACAUGAACAUGACAUUCUACUUGAGGAUGGUGAUGAGUGGGUGACAGCUUAAGACUCAUUUUAUGUCUGGGUGCAUUAUUUCCAGCCCUGUAAACCUUACUGGAAAACCCAGCCAUCUCAGAUUGAAACCUGGUUAAAGGGACGUUUUAUAAUGUCUGUUCUGGAAUUACUGUGUCUGUAUUCCAGUAAAUUGACUUGCUAUGGUUUUCAAAUGACUGUAUGUCGGAGUGAGGCCAUGUUCAGUGCCUUAACAUUGACACAGAUAACUAGAAGGCUUGGGCAGACUUUCUAUGUAUGUGACAAUCUGCAGUGCAGCAAUGGAUUCUGUCUCUCUGCUCAGUGGGUGUGAUGCUAGCUCCUGUUACUAUAUAUUUUUUUUCUUGCGGUUGAAUAUUUGCAUAUAUGAUGAAUUCCUGAAGGUGCACAGGAAGUUGCAUCUCAUACAAGUCUAGGAGUACAUAUUCUCUUACCGUGAUUACUAGUAACGUAGUUACUGCUAUAGGUUUUCCGGAAUUGUCUUUGUAAACCAAUUCAGGAUGAUUCAGUUCUUCUGGUUGCAGUUACUGUAGUCUUCAGUUCUUUUUACUCCUGUGCCAGAUAUCCAAUGAGUCAGUCCACUAUGUUACUCAAACAUAUGGAUUUAAAGUCCACAGUAUUCCAGGGCUGCAUUUCAUAAAGGCACUUUGGUACAAUUACUAGCUGCUGGGGUGGGGUGGGGUGGGAGAGAAAUGUAGAUUGGCAAAAUUCAUUAGUUGUAAAAGUAACGUCUAACUCUGCUUUGUGCUUCCAUGAUAAUUAAAGUGCCAGGAUGGUAAGUUUGUGAAUGUUCUAUCAGACAGAUCAGUAUGAGAAGAUGGACACGUGAAAGCAUGUGUUACGAACUGCCCGCAGGUAGUGAUGUUACAUAUCAAGUAAUGCCUGAAUCAGAUUAGCAUCAUCACACCAUAAAGGGCCGCAACAUACCCAUAAAUCAAUUCAGCUUAGGAUCCCAUACUAAUGGCAAUUUAUAAAAGUGCGCUGCUCUCGCGCGCACACAGCAGACGCGCAGGACAGGGCUUGCAAAGGCUGCAGUUUAUAAGUACAUUUAUUGCAAACUGGUUUAAGAUACACCCCAAUGAAUACAUUAUUAUGUUAUGUUAUGUUGUUAUAUAUAUAGCGCCAACAAAUUCCGCAGCGCUUUACAGUGGGUGGACGAACAGACAUGUAGUUGUUACUAGACAAGUUGGACACACAGGAACAUAGGGGUUGAGGGCCCUGCUCAAUGAGCUUACAUGCUAGAGGGAGUGGGGUAAAGUGACACAAAAGGUAAGGAUAGUAUUAGACUAAUGACAGUUGAAAGAGAGGAAUCAUUCUGGAGCUAUUAACAGUUUAAUUGAUACGCUUUUAUAAAGAAGUGUGUUUUUAAUGAUUUUUUUGAAGGAGUGGAGACUGGGUGAGCAUCUAACAGAGGAGGGAAGUGAGUUCCACAGGAACGGUGCAGCCCUGGAGAAGUCUUGAAAUGUAUUGGGGUCUAUCUACUAAACAGUGAUAUUUGAUUUUAUUUUUUUCUAAUAUGGACAGUGGUUUUUUAAGAUCAACUAAGAGAGAGUAGAUUUCUUUCUAAUUAAGAGGUCUAGUCAGUUGUACUUAUAAAAUCAAAAUCUGUCUUCAGGAUUAAUUUCUGAAUGAUCCAUUACCUGCCCUGACUUGGAC